UACGAAGGGGGCUAGCGUUGCUCGGAAUCACUGGGCGUAAAGCGCACGUAGGCGGCUUUCUAAGUCAGGGGGUGAAAUCCCGGAGCUCAACUCCGGAACUGCCUUUGAUACUGGAAAGCUUGAGUUCGGGAGAGGUGAGUGGAACUGCGAGUGUAGAGGUGAAAUUCGUAGAUAUUCGCAAGAACACCAGUGGCGAAGGCGGCUCACUGGCCCGAUACUGACGCUGAGGUGCGAAAGCGUGGGGGAGCAAACAGG
rnacentral:rRNA from 1 species